rnacentral:rRNA from 1 species
UAUGGCUCAACCAUAGAACUGCUUUGAAAACUGUUAACCUAGAAUAUGGGAGAGGUAGAUGGAAUUUCUGGUGUAGGGGUAAAAUCCGUAGAGAUCAGAAGGAAUACCGAUUGCGAAGGCGAUCUACUGGAACAUUAUUGACGCUGAGACGCGAAAGCGUGGGGAGCAAACAGGAUUAGAUACCCUGGUAGUCCACGCCCUAAACGAUGUACACUAGUUGUUGUGAGGCUAGACCUUGCAGUAAUGCAGUAAACACAUUAAGUGUACCGCCUGGGGAGUACGGUCGCAAGAUUAAAACUCAAAGGAAUAGACGGGGACCCGCACAAGCGGUGGAGCAUGUGGUUUAAUUCGACGAUACGCGAAGAACCUUACCUGGACUUGACAUAGUAAGAACUUUCUAGAGAUAGAUUGGUGUCUGCUUGCAGAAGCUUAUAUACAGGUGCUGCACGGCUGUCGUCAGCUCGUGUCGUGAGAUGUUGGGUUAAGUCCCGCAACGAGCGCAACCCUCGUCGUUAGUUGCUAACAGUUCGGCUGAGAACUCUAACGAGACUGCCUGGGUAACCAGGAGGAAGGUGAGGACGACGUCAAGUCAUCAUGGCCCUUACGUCCAGGGCUACACACGUGCUACAAUGGGGUAUACAAAGAGCAGCGAUACGGUGACGUGGAGCAAAUCUCAAAAAUAUCUCCCAGUUCGGAUAGUAGUCUGCAACUCGACUACUUGAAGUUGGAAUCGCUAGUAAUCGUAGAUCAGCAAUGCUACGGUGAAUACGUUCCCGGGUCUUGUACUCACCGCCCGUCACACCAUGGGAGUUGAACUCAUUCGAAGCGGGGAUGCUAAAGUAG